UUGUGGGAACACACCGCUAAAAUUAGGUAUAAAUUAACUAAAAGUGUUUUGGUAAAAAGCUAGUUGACUUUUUAACACUAGCCAGAUUACCAUACUUUAAUUCAGUAUUAAUAAGAUUCAGAAAUUAAAUAUCUACAAAAACCCUGCCGAAUUAGACCGGAGUACCGAGAGGAGCUCUCAGGCCUGUUAGGUAUUUUAACCACCGUUAGCUAACUGGCUGUUUCAGCUCUCGGUGAAACGCGAUCUUAUUACUGAACUACAGCGUGGUUUAAAAGCUGCUGCUGAUUGAGAAAAACACACCCUGUGCUGGGAGAGAAGGUCGUGAAUCAGCUCUUAAACGGCGCUGGGUGUUUGUUUUGUUUCUGAACAAGCAGGUGACGCUGCAACUGGAUUUUAUAAAGAUAUGAGAAAAGAAUGCUUUCGUCGUGGAUUUAACAUGAAAAGGCCCAGUUCCAAAAGACACAACAUCCUCAGUGUCCUGGAGCUCCAGCUGAAGCACUGGCCACUCCACCUUCUCCAUCCCCACCCAAAAGAGGUACUUCUAAGGCAGCUAGUUGAAGGCGUGAUUGAGGUCCAUGCCAGAGGGGUUCUGCACUGUGACCUCAAGCCAUAGAACAUCCUGGUUCAGAUGUACAGUUAGGAACCACGCCUUCAUCUUCUGUUCUUCUGGACCUUCCUCAUGAGUGGUUUACCCAUGAGGCCAAAUCCUCCACAGUGUUGCAGAUAGGAAUCAUCCUGCUGUGUGUGAGAGGUGACCCUUCAACACCAGCACGGAGAUCACCUCAAAGAAGUCUCAGAUCAUCUCUCCACCAUCUGCUCUAUGACCCCUGGCUAAGCCACCACAUCAGGCACACCUCAGUCAGGUACCAUAUAAAACAAUAAUAAUAAUAAUUUUAAAAGAUCUAUAUUUUCAAUCUCUAGUUUAGAGAGUUCUCUAGUAGAGCUGGGCGAUUAAUCGAUUUUAUCGAUAAAUUCGAAUUUAUAGUUAAGGACAAUGUGUUUUUAUGAAAAUCGAUUUUCUCUGAGUUUCCUUUUUCACCACAGACGCUCCUCUGUGGGCACAGAGUGAGCUUAGCUAGCUCCCUCCAUACCUCCCUCCCUCCAGCGCGCGCACCCCCCGCCCCUCCCUCACUCCCUCCCUCCCUCCCUUGCACGCACAAACACACACGCACACACACACACAUAUACACAAAACACAUGACGGCGGAGCUUAAGAGCAACUGGCUCCGUGAUCUGGAGUUGGUUCGGUUUUGCGGCGUCGGACGUAGACCAAACAGGUCCUCGCUGUAAGGUGAACCAAUUUAUCACUAUACCUUAAACAGAACCAUGUAGCGGAGUGGGAGAAGUGCUGCUACCAUAGGAAUGAACGCAGCAGCAGCACCAGUUCACCAUUCAACGUUAAACAAGGAACUGUCCCUGGCACAUCUUCCAACCGUGUACCAGGUUUUGUAUGCACUACAAGUUAAGAUGUUUUGCAUAUUCAUGAGAAAAGAUCUCAUUUUAUAGAACACUGGCACUUAUUUAAAUGCUUUGUUUUGCAAUUCUAGCCCAAUAGGGAAAAGAAUAUACUUAAGAGCAUAUAAAUUGUACUUGUUUUCUAUUGUCUACUUUGUAAGUUUUAUCAAAAAAGGGCACCAUUUUAUUUAUUUCUAUUUGUUUUUAAGGGUGUGUUUAUUUAUUUAUUAAUUUUUUAAGUUUGAGGGUGCAUUGUGUCAGUACCUAAACUAUGUUGGAGAAAGCUUUCUAAAAGUCACUAGAUGUUCUCACUGUUUACAAUGGUUUUUUUUGCUUGUUUCUGGUUGCACUUUAACCACAAAUGGAACAUUUUAAGUGGAAACAAAUUAAAUAAGAACUAGUUUUUAACCAUUUCUUUAUCAUCUUUAGUUUGAUUUUUAGUAGGGGGAAAAAAUCGAUUUAAAUCGAAAAUUGGAUUUAAAAAAAAAAAAAAUCUAAGAUUUUUUUUUUUCGGCCAUAUCGCCCAGCUCUAUACUCUAGUUUAGAGUUUUUUUUUAUAAAACACACCUAAGGAAAAUAGCAGGUAUUAAUAAAGCUAUUGAUUCCAUACUUUUAAAAAGGUAAUGAUUUUCUUUAACUAUAUAAAUGUUUUAAUCGUUUUGUGUAUUGUAUGCUUUUAAUUGCUUCCUGUUUUGUAUUUGUGUUCAUGUACUUAAGGCUUUAAUCCUUUUAUCUUGAUAUUGUUUAUCUUUUGAUGUUUAUUAAUUACUUAACUGUAUUUAUCUUUAUGUAGUAUACUGUUAGUGUUUUAAUCCAUACACUUUUUGUAUAUAUUUCUUUUAUUGCUUAGUUACUUGCUUUAUUAAUGGUUAUUGUAUUGGUGUUUUAGUCUUAUUUUGGGCUUAUAUUCAUUAAAAACAUUUUAACGUUUGUCUUUUAGUGCUUUAAUCAAUUAAUAUUGUACUUACCUUUUACUAUUUUACUAUAAAUCUUUCUGUACUUAAUUAUACAUUAUUUUUUAUUUAUUUUUUAUAAAAUUAAAGGCGGGUUUAUUAAUUGUAUGUCUUUAUACGGGAUUUUAUAUUUGCAUUGUAUAUAUUUUUGUUUCAUUUAAUGUUUAUGCUCUUUGUCUUUUUCAGAUUUUUACAUUUUUAAUUUGUGUAUUGACCCAAGGAGUAUGGGUUCCUCUCAAGGUUUCUAUCUCUCUUUCUGAGAGAAUUUUCUUUGCCGCUGUCUCCUUUGUGCUUACUCAAAAGAGGUUUGGACACUUUUUUUUUUUUUUUUUUAACUGUUCUUAAUUUUGUUUGUUUCUUAACUUUGUCAAUAAAUGUUUUUUUAUUGCUA